rnacentral:rRNA from 1 species
CAGCAGCCACGGGAAUACGUAGGGUGCGAGCGUUAAUCGGAAUUACUGGGCGUAAAGCGUGCGCAGGCGGUUCGUUAAGACAGAUGUGAAAUCCCCGGGCUUAACCUGGGAACUGCAUUUGUGACUGGCGAGCUAGAGUAUGGCAGAGGGGGGUGGAAUUCCACGUGUAGCAGUGAAAUGCGUAGAGAUGUGGAGGAACACCGAUGGCGAAGGCAGCCCCCUGGGCCAAUACUGACGCUCAUGCACGAAAGCGUGGGGAGCAAACAGGAUUAGAUACCCGAGUAGUCCCUGUCUCUUAUAC